GGUGAUGUAGCUCAGUUGGUUAGUAGCGCCGAACUCAUAAUUCGGAGGUCGUUGGUUCGACCCCAACCAUCACCA
rnacentral:tRNA from 1 species